CCUACGGGUGACAGCAGUGGGGAAUAUUGCGCAAUGGGCGAAAGCCUGACGCAGUGACGCCGCGUGCGGGAUGAAGGUCUUCGGAUCGUAAACCUCUUUCAGCAGGGAAGAACGGUCACUGUGCUAAUCAGCAGUGCAUUGACGGUACCUGCAAAGGAAGCACCGGCUAACUCCGUGCCAGCAGCCGCGGUAAUACGGAGGGUGCGAGCGUUAAUCGGAAUUACUGGGCGUAAAGCGCUCGUAGGCGGUAUGUCAAGUCAAGGGUGAAAUCCCCGCGCUCAACGUGGGAACUGCCUUUGAAACUGGCAAACUGGAGUGUGUGAGAGGAUAGUGGAAUUCGAGGUGUAGGAGUGAAAUCCGUAGAUAUCUGGAGGAACAUCAGUGGCGAAGGCGACUAUCUGGCACAUAACUGACGCUGAGGAGCGAAAGCGUGGGUAGCAAACAGGAUUAGAUACCCUUGUAGUC
rnacentral:rRNA from 1 species